GAGAGACCUCUGACAAAAGUGGUUUGUGAGAGUAGCAAAGGCAGAGGAAGAAAUGAGAAAGAGGGACUGAAAAGGAGAGAGGGAUGGAAGAGGAGCCAAAAAGGCUCAGAGACAGAGAGGCAGCAAAAUACUGUAGGUGAACAUUUGCAGAUAACAACACACGAUGCCUCACUGUAUACCAUGGCACUAGUAUUGCUGCUGAAAGGAGUCCAGGAACAUCCUAGCAGUGGGGACUGCUAGAGCCUAGACGAUGGAUGUUUGUUACCACUGCUAUUGCAUUUCGCACACUACCACUUAGAAAUCAGCACCCUUCUCUGUAGUUUGACCUGUUAAAGUUUAAUGAAGGAGCUCUCUGAUCCAUGGAAGUGCACACAGAACAGCGAGGGCUGCUGCGUGGGUAUCAACCUUCUUGAAAAGCAGAAUAGCUGUAUUUCUGGAAACAGAGCUGUCUUCUGUAAAACAGAGAGAAACCAACCAUGAAAUUCAGACUGGGAGAGAAAAGCUGACCUAGGGUUACCCAGGAAGCUUCAUGGUUGAGUCCUUGGGAAGCUGUCCAUCCAUAUCAUCAUGCUUGGCAGUAAGGACCAAAGUUCUUAAGAGGCGUCUCAGUCCUACACAGGUUAAAGACAAGGGAACUGCAUCAUCUGCAUAAAGGAGUGUAGAAAUAGCCCUGCCAAUUUAGGUGGAUGGAAGUUCUCUCUGGACAAUACUCUGACCAGUGAAUCAGUGUAGAUAUUGAACAGGGUUGACUACGUAAGGCUCUGUGGAAGGAAAUGAGAAAGUCUUCCUUGAAGAUGAUGAGCUAGAAUAUGUUAUGGAAUAAGGACCUUGUGAAGGCAAAAUUCCACUGAGGAAUUCUGAGGCUAUGCAACUCCAAAACUUGGAGGGGAAUUGCUGAGCAAUUUGAUAACUAUCCUUUCCAGAACUUGUGAGCUGCUAUUAAACUCCUGUCAUGAGUGAGGCUUUGCGCUUGGCAUAUGACAAACUCUCUCUUUCUCACAUGCACAUGUACUACCUGUUAACAGCCUUAUAGCAGCAGUUCUAAACUGAGAGUCUGAAUGUUGGACUUCAGUUCCCAGCAGUCCCAGCCAGCACUGCCAAUGGUGAGAGAUUCUGAGCUAAAUUCCAGAAACAUCUGGAGGCUCCCCAGUUGUGACUGAACCACUGCUGGAGGAUUCUCUAUUCACUUUGCUGGUCCAUAGGCACUGGUAGGAAUGAAGGCCUAGCUGGAGGAUGACCUGAUUCAACUGAAGACUGCAGGAGCCCUGCGAAACACUCUAUGUCCAGGAUAUUUCAAUGUACAGCAAUCUAAUAGCUGUGCAUUGCUAGAGGCUGAAAUCAUUCCCAGCCCCAGCAGUGGCAGCAGUAAUUAUUAUAGGCACUGUGCAGCUCCGAUCGACGUGGCUCUUUGUACACCCUGCAUACUCAGAAACAGACAGAAGGAAAUCUUUUAUUACCAAAGCCAGAAUUGCAGAGGAGUCUAAACUAGAACCUUUGGGGCAUCAGUAAUUGAGGGUUUGAAUUUCAGUCUUCUUUCACUUAACAUGCAUUUCUGCCAGAAAUCCUGUGCCGCCGCCCCCCAACACACACACACACGCACAGCCUUGUACAAUUCCUCUUCUGCCAACAUGCUUGUUUUAAUGGCCCAGCUCAUUCCUGUUGACCAAUAUAAUUUUAAGCCUGAGGAGAAAAAAACCCCACAAAGCACCCAUUUGGGGAAAAGAGCUAACAUUGGUACACAAAGCUCAGAGGCAUGUUUUAUCUAAUUGGUUUGUUUUCCCUUUAGCUUUGCUUUCGCUACUCUUUCGGCCACAGAAUCAAAAUGGCUGUUCCUAUCUGAGAUGAAACACUAAUGAUACUGGCUUUCUGAUUCAAGUUUUAAUAUGGAGAUUAAAUUAUAGACCAUCUACUGGGGAAGAAGUAUUUCUCCACAUUCCCUUUCAUUUUGCUCUGUAAGGGUAACUGUGUACUGAUAUGAAUAAAAGCAAAACUGCAGAUUUUGGAUGCAACAAUUACAUAUAAAUUCCAUCUCUUCUGAUACUAAGGCCCCAUCUGCACUAGCCAGGAAACUCCAAGGGUAGCCUGGAGUAUCCCAGCACUGAAACUGCCCUAAUCUCCACUGGUUACCUGGUCCACCAUUUCCACGACGCCACAGCUGUCUGCACAAGCAUUGCACUGAGCCAUCGCCAUAGAUCACUCAUUUUUGAGGUCAGAAUAUGCUGCCCACAGGCAAUCAUAAGUUGGGCACCUCAUCCUGACCUCAGAAUGAGUGACCUGCAGUGGGUGGCAGAUGUCAGUGGCAUUACCAGGGGUGUGUGUGGUGGUGAGGACCACACCAGUUGACACCCAAAGGGUGGGUGACAUUACCCAGUCAGUUAGUACAGUCUGGGGGGAGUGGGUGGAUGCCUCCUGGGUCCUAUGUGAUGAUAGCAAAACAGGACUCAGAAGGCCGGGAGCGGCUGCUUUCCAGGUCCCUAGUGGCCAUGGCCACACAGGACUCGGAAGGCUGGGGGGGCUGCUGAGAGGACCAAGUGCACCCUCUCCUCGCUGCUGCAGCGCCACUCUACAGGCCCUGCCCCAAGAAGCCCGGCCACAAGAAGCCCUGCCUCCUUGCAACGGGUGACACUCUGGGCAGGGACACCACUGGUGACUUGAUAGGAUGCCUGUGCAGACAGCCAUGAUGACAUGGGAACAGAGGGCUCCAGACUUUCCCAGAAGAUCCAGAGCAACAGGUUUAUUUUUAAAUGUGGUUCUUGUCUGGACUGCUGAUACCUGAGCAGUAUUUGGGAAAUGUGUCUUGCAAACAGGAUGAUGCCAAAACAGGGAGAAAUGGAUAUAAGGCCACAGAACCUUCAUCCUAUAUAAAUCCCUCCUCCUCGUGGCUGCCGCCACCAUCUCACAGGGCUGGGGCUGCCGCUACCACCUCCUCCCCCGCACGGCCACCACCACCGCUGCCACCGUGUGGGGCUGCCAUCACCACUGCCAUCAGCACCAUUGUUAUUGCGGCAGCGGCAGGCCAGAGGAGGCCUGGCUGGUGUUGGAGAAGGAGGAGGGGGGAGGUGGCGGUGGCGGCAGGCCAGAGGAGGCCUCGCUGGUGCUGGAGGAGGAGGAGCUUUCACUGGUCUUUGCGGCUGAAAGUCCCACCUCUUCUUCCAGCCGGCGGCCUCCCUGACUGGUUGGGAGGCCGGGAAGGGGCGGGACUUCUGGCCACAAAGGCCGCGGGGACUUGUAGGCAGCCAGAAGUCCCACCCCUUCCUGGUCUCCGAGUCAAUCAGGGGGCCACCAGGUGGGACGUACAGCCACAAGGGGUUUGCGGCCCAACAAAGGUUGGGAACCGCUGUUCUAGAAUAUAGGAAUUGCUUUCAUAGCAUGUAUUUUUCUUGCCUACUAAUAAAUCUAUUAAGCCUGCCACCUCUGGUAUGUUUAUUGUCUCCAUAGCCAAAAGAUUUACUUGCCUUUGGCAAAACAGAGAUCUUUCUCCUUGUUUUAUUUUAUUUUAUUUGGCGUUCUGUAAACUUUUUUGAAGCUCAGCUUUAGUGUUAACCAACUCUUGAUUUUCUACAAUUUGCUUGUCGCUCAGCACCAUUACCUCAAUCAGCUAAACUGUCUCCUGGGGUGAGCUGGAGUCUAGUCUAAAAUUUUAUUUCUUCAGUCUUACAAGACACAAAGAAAAAAGAAAAGAAAAAAAGAAAUGGGAAGGAAAACAGCAAGCUCAGCACCAGAUCAGAAGUCACUUUCUGAUUUAGCAUAAGGCUGUUCCUUCAAUUAAAAUGGACUAGAGAAGUGGUGAAUGUGGGGAAAAUACCUCACAUGGCUCCUAAAGGGCAUUUAGGGUUCCGUUUUUACCUAGCAGUCCUUAACAGCUCUGGGGCUACAUGGACUGUUUUGUGGUUGUGUG